GGGGACGUAGCUCAGCUGGGAGAGCGCCAGCUUUGCAAGCUGGAAGUCGUGGGUUCGAAUCCCAUCGUCUCCA
rnacentral:tRNA from 2 species